GUCCUGGGAUGGUGAUGGGGGUCCUGUCAGAGAACAUGGGGGUUCCCAGUGAGUUCCCAGGGGGGAUCUUGGAGGUGUAAAGGAGGUCUGAGGGAGGAAAUAGGAGGAUUCCAUGGAAUGGAAUAGGAGAAUUCCCAUGUCCAGUGGGGGACAUGGGGUGCUGCUAUGGACUGUGAGGCUCCAUGUGAGAAUGGGCCAGCUACGGGGGAGGUGUACUGCGUCUGAGGGGGUCCUUGAGGGGCUCCAAGGCUCUGUGGGGGGCUACAGGGUGUCUUUAG
ensembl:lncRNA